rnacentral:rRNA from 1 species
UCAGACGAUGCGUCAUGCAUAUCAAUAAGCGGAGGAAAAGAAACUAACAAGGAUUCCCUUAGUAACGGCGAGUGAAGCGGGAAGAGCUCAAAUUUGAAAUCUUCAAGGUUUUACCUUGACGAAUUGUAGUUUAAAGAAGUGUUUUCUGCUGAAGUCUUGGUAAAAGUUCUUUGGAAUAGGACAUCAUAGAGGGUGAGAAUCCCGUAUUUGACCAUUAUUUUCAGCUUUGUGAUACACUUUCAAAGAGUCGGAUUGUUUGGGAAUGCAGUCCAAAAUGGGUGGUAAAUUUCAUCUAAAGCUAAAUAUUGGCGAGAGACCGAUAGCGAACAAGUACCGUGAGGGAAAGAUGAAAAGAACUUUGAAAAGAGAGUUAAACAGUACGUGAAAUUGUCAAAAGGGAAGCGUUUGACACCAGUGUUGUUUUCUCGAAAAUCAAUUAAAAAUGGCUCGAUCUUGUAUUGCUUGAGACCUUAAAAGCUCACUGUACAUUUUUCGUGUCUUUUUUAAUGCACUUUUCGUUUAACAAGUCAACAUCAGUUUCUUUUGUUGUAAAAGGGUCAUUGGAAGGUGGCUUUCUUUUCGGAGAAAGUGUUUAUAGCCUUUGGCCUCUGCAAUCGGAGAGACUGAGGUCUGCAGCGUAGACUCUUCGGGGUUAGAUACAUUUGUGCUAAGUUAUAGCUUUUUAUAGACAACUUGUUGACUAUAAUUAGUCUUGUAGCUUACUCGCUUAUGCUAUUUUACCUACGCUUAGGAUGUUGACGAUCAGCUGAGCGCG